GACGAACGCUGGCGGCGUGCUUAACACAUGCAAGUCGAACGGAAAGGCCCCUUUGGGGGUCCUCGAGUGGCGAACGGGUGAGUAACACGUGAGUAACCUGCCCUUGACUUCGGGAUAACUUCAGGAAACUGGGGCUAAUACCGGAUAGGAAUCCUUGCUGCAUGGUGGGGGUUGGAAAGCUUCGGCGGCUUUGGAUGGACUCGCGGCUUAUCAGCUUGUUGGUGGGGUAGUGGCUUACCAAGGCUUUGACGGGUAGCCGGCCCGGGAGGGCGACCGGCCACAAUGGGACUGAGGUACGGCCCAGACUCCUACGGGGGGCAGCAGUGGGGAAUAUUGCACAAUGGGCCGGAGCCUGGAACAACAACCCCGGGGGCGGGAUGACGGCCUUCGGGUUGUAAACCGCUUUCAGCAGGGGCGAAGCUUGUGGUGACGGUACCUGCAGAAGAAGCACCGGCUAACUACGU
rnacentral:rRNA from 1 species